AUGCUGAGGACACGCAGCUGCUGGUGCUUGUGCUGGAUUUCUGCCUCUGUGCUGCUGAGUCCAGCUCAUGGGCACGCCGGCGACUAUAAUCAGGAGAGGCCCCCCUGCCAACCAGGUUUCUACUGCCCAGCGGGCAGCUCCAGUCCGGUCCCCUGUCCUGAGGGAACCUACGGGCCGACCGCCGAGGCCGUGUCCGUUGACGGCUGCCUUACGUGUCCCCCUCACCAUUACUGUCCUCGAGCCGGCCUGUCCGCCUUCUCGCCUUGCGGCCCUGAGGCCGUGCAGCCUCUUCCUGGUCAGGACGCCUGCAUCUGCCCGGGGGAGGGGCAGCGUUUCCAGGCCAGCGAUGGGCGCUGCCACUGCACCAUCGGCUACCAGCCCACCGGCAGGGGAGACGCGUGCAUGCGCAGACUCUACGACGUCUGCGCAGACGGAGAGGCGCGCACGCAGCACGGGGACUGCCUGGACCGCCGGCAGUGGUCGCUUCACUGCAGCCGGCAGGUGUGUGAGUCGGCAGCAGACUACCGGGGUUACGACACAGAGCUGGGCCUGUGCGUGUGCAGCGAGCCCCCUGGACGAGCUGCGUGCCGAGGCCUGUGUCCCAACCGAGCGGCCACCGAGCUGACGCUCCGGUGCCGGUCGGACGGGGAGGCGGAGCUGGCGUGGAGCAGCGGCGGUCAGGUGCUGGGCGUCUCCGACCUCAUUCACGUCAAGCUCCUCAACAAGUGGGAUUCUCCUCCGUGCAGCCGUCAUGAUUCCUCACAUCUUGUCUACAUCGUCCAAACAACAGAGGCAGGCUUCCUCGGCCUUCUGGACGGCCUCCCAACGGAGCUCCAGCAGCCGCAUCCUGCCUCCACGCAGCCGGAUGCUCAGAGCUCGGCCGACAUUCCAGAUUCUGACGUCUGGUUGGAGGCAGUGGUUAAAAACAUCAGUGAUGGAGAGAAGACUUCCAGCAACAUGAGGGGCAGUCGGUAUAAUCUGCAGGAAGACAUGAGGAGUGUAACCGGAAUACUGAACCCGACAGCGUGUCUCCAUAUGGGUGACGUUAUAAUGUUCACUGUCAAUGCACGUCAUUACCCUCAGUAUGAUCUUGACAACCUGUACAACACUAACGCAGACUUCGACUGGGGUGCGUUCCGGCAGCUGGAGGAGGAGCUGACUCUGUCUUGGACGCCUCCCAGCCUCUUCUCAUUCCCCUUAACCCAACCUGGAGUUUACGUUUUCACCCUGAGCAGCAAUCAGCACAAACACUUGUAUGUGAGGGUGAUGCCCGCGGGUGCCCAGUGUUACGAGCCUGGCCCCUUUUUCCCAGCAAUACCUCAUCACAUGACCAGGAUGGGGAUCAGAAGGAGACGCAACCUGUUGCUGCGGCCUGACUGGCUGGUGACAGGAGGUCUGCUCUUCGGAGCUGUGGUCAUCCUCUGUUUAUGCGUUACCCUGCUGAUCCUGUUCCGGGAGUAUGGGUGGCCGGAGAAAGGGCCGGUCAGGCCGCGGUACCGCUCGCAGCAGUUGGCCUACCACAUGGACGACUACUCGUCUAAAGGGUCGAGGGUGGUGUCGCUCAGGAAGACUCACAGGAACCAGCAAACCAGACUGACGCAAGACUCCAUCCAAGCAGGAGUCUGCACAGAUGCCUCGGAGGACUUCUGGGAUUAUGAACAUCAGGUGGACCUGGAGGCCUUCAGCAGCAACACCUUCUACAGCCUCCUGCUCAAACAGAGCCUGUCCGUCACCAUGCGCCUGGGACAGCUAACCGCAGAGGUAAAGGAGCUGUACCAGGGCGUGCUGGGGAAGCUGCAGCUGCUCCAUCCCUGCCUGAUCGCCGAGGAGAGGGUGGGGGAGAGAAAUGAGAGGAUGAGGAGGGAGGUGGAGAGAGAGGCGUUCCGACGAAAGACCCUGGCCUCACAGCUGAGGACCCUGCUGGACCGGCAGCUACAGGUUGUAAGACAGGAGCAGCAGGCCCAACAAAGAGCCCACAGCUUGUUCACCACUCAUCUCAAACAGUGCACCAGACUAGUGUCCACGGUUUAUGAUCAUGACCACACAUCCUGUGAACUAGAGCAGCAAAAGUAAAGCCAUCAUCUACUGUAUUCACAAGCAGGAAUGGAGAAUAAACCUUCCACUGCGUGUGCUGCUUUCUGUGUC
ensembl:lncRNA